rnacentral:snRNA from 1 species
AUACUUACCUGGCGGGAGAGACAUCAUGAUCAUGAAGGUUCACCCAGGGUGAGGCCCAGCCAUUGCUGUGCUGACCCCUGUGAAUUCCCCAAAUGUGGGAAUCUCCACUGCAUAAUUUCUGGUAGGGGGGGGCACUGCAUUCGCACUCUCCCCCU